AGAGUUUGAUCCUGGCUCAGAACGAACGCUGGCGGCGUGGAUAAGACAUGCAAGUCGAGCGCUGAUUGCGGGGUAGCAAUAUUCCGCAGUUGGAGCGGCGCAAGGGUGCGUAACACGUGGGUAAUCUGCCGUGAAGUUUGGGAUAACUUGCUGAAAGGCGAGCUAAUACCGGAUGUGAACAUUGAAAGGCAUCUUUUGAUGUUCAAAGUUGGGGACCGUAAGGCCUGACGCUUCAUGAUGAACCCGCGGCCUAUCAGCUAGUUGGUGAGGUAACGGCUCACCAAGGCUAAGACGGGUAGCUGGUCUGAGAGGACGACCAGCCACACUGGAACUGAGACACGGUCCAGACACCUACGGGUGGCAGCAGUCGAGAAUUUUUCACAAUGGGCGAAAGCCUGAUGGAGCGACGCCGCGUGGGGGAUGAAUGGCUUCGGCCCGUAAACCCCUGUCAUUCGCGAACAAUGCCUGCGGCUUAAUACGUCGCAGGUUGAUAGUAGCGGAAGAGGAAGGGACGGCUAACUCUGUGCCAGCAGCCGCGGUAAUACAGAGGUCCCAAGCGUUGUUCGGAUUCACUGGGCGUAAAGGGUGCGUAGGUGGUCGGGUAAGUUUGAUGUGAAAUCUCCGGGCUUAACCCGGAAAUGGCAUUGAAUACUAUUCGACUGGAGGGUUGGAGGGGGGACUGGAAUUCUCGGUGUAGCAGUGAAAUGCGUAGAUAUCGAGAGGGACACCAGUGGCGAAGGCGAGUCCCUGGACAACUCCUGACACUAAGGCACGAAAGCUAGGGGAGCAAACAGGAUUAGAUACCCUGGU
rnacentral:rRNA from 1 species